rnacentral:ribozyme from 1 species
AAAAUUUAAUUUAAUUUAAAUUUUUUUUUUUUUUUAUUCGGGAUGAUAAUACUCGUGACCACUCAUGGUAGACGUCAUGCUCAUUUGACGUGGUUUUUUAUUCCCCGUUGGAAUUUGUAUCGUAAACGAACUGUGGGAGGAAGUAUUGUCGUGCGACGAAGAAUCUUGCUGCUGCAACAACAACGAACUCGCUAGCGUCGUGGAAGAAGAAGAAGCAGAUGAAGUAUGAUCGGUUUCGUACAA